CAUUUUUUCAUAUAUGUUUGUUAUUUUUACUUCUUCACCUGAGAAGUGUGUGUUUAUUUCAGAUGCCCAUUUUUGGAUUGAAAGCCUGGAUAUUUUCAAGGUACUGGGCUGGAAUUGAAAAUGAGCAUUCUUUGUUUUCAGGCCAGCUCUGGUAUUCUACAGAGGCGGGGACAUGUGUUGUAAGGGCUUUGUGUCUCCCUGAGCUCCUGGUAUGGUGUUCUGCGUAGGCUGAAACGUUAUGAAGGUUUUCUACAGGAUGGCGGUGUUAGGACGGACGGCGAUGAAGAGGACUAUAACGGUGACACUGAUAGACACGGCCCUGCACUGGGCCACGCGGAGGUCUCCGAGUGCUGUGAAGCUCAGCCUCACCGAGGUUAAACGCAGCACACAACCAGCCCCGCUAACGACGUUGCAAUUCCAACGCUGAGCCCUCCACCGGCACCUCCUAGAUCUGCAGCCACUUCAUUUCGAUGUCAUCACGCGUGUUGUGAAUGUACAGGGCACACCUGCUUCGGCACGCAUCCUGGGCUGGAGGAAACAGGGCUUUGUGAAUCCAUCCACAUCGUUGCAGUUGACUUUCUAGUUCUUUAAACCAUAAUGUAUUCACCUUUUUAAAAAAAAUGUGGGUUUAUCAACUUGGCCAGGGAUGGAACUGUUUUCCCACUUUUGCUGGCUUACUAGUUGUGUAUCUUAAAUUGUGCAAGUUAGCAGUGUAAUCUUAGAAUUGAUAAGCUAGCCAGUUGACAUAGUGAUGACAAAAUGAAGUGAAUUUUAGAUAAAACUUUGGACAGUUAUUUCCAGUUAAGACUGAAAACAUGGGAAAAUACUUAGGAUAAUGUUAAAUGAAAAAACCCAAAUGCAAAAUUAAUGUGCCUACAUACUCUUAAGUGAAAUCAAUAGGACACAUAUGUGUAAAUAGCAUACAGUUUCUCUGGUGUGAAAAACUAAAAGUGUAAAUAAGGAUCAAAGUGUAUAAUUGAUAUUGUGCAAUAGGAAGAAAAGGUCUAAAGGUGAGGGGAAGUGGGUGGGGUAGGGAAAAGGUAAGAAGGGAAAAGAAAAAAAUAUGACAAAAUGAUAAAAUGGAAAUAAAGUGUUUGUAAAUGGGGAAAUGAGGAGGGGGUAAAGAGAGGGCAUGGACAAGGGGAAAAAAUGAGAACCAAGACCUGUCAUGUAAAGGUAAAAGAUCCCAAC
ensembl:lincRNA